ensembl:lncRNA
CCGGGACCCCGGCUCCCGCCGCGCCUCCCCCUGCCCCCCGAGGCUGCCUCCCGGUUCGGCAGAGGCCGCUCGGCAGGGGCAGGAGGCCCAGCGCCACGAAGGGGGCGGAACCAACCGAGCGGCGGCUGCUCCCCGCGGGCCCCGCUCUCGCUUCUCCUUCGCCGGGAAACGCGGCCCGGCCGCCCCGCGGCUCCCCUCUUCCUGCUCCUCGGCAGAGGCCGGCGGGCACCGAGCGCGGCCCCGAAACGCGCCGGCCCCCCUCAGCCGCAGAGCGAAGCAGAACGGACGAGCGAACGAGCGAGCGAGCAGGAAUUAGAGGAAACCAAAGUGAACAGGUAUUCAUUAGAUCUGAGAAUAAAAUUUCCUCUGACAUAUCAGGUGGAGCAGGAAAGGAAAGACAUAGUUCAUAACUCUGCCUCUAUGACACCAACAAGCAGAGCUUCGUCUUCCAGAAGGCAUCUUGGUGCAGUCAACAAGUACCAGCUGUGUCACCGCGGUCUCUGCAUGAGCAAACAAUUACAGGACAGAGCCACACCUGGAUUUGUGCCUGCAAGUGAGGAUUUUCCACUACAGAGAUCAGAUUUUUGAUAACUUGAUGGAUUAUUAAAAAUUACUUCACUGGAGAAGGGAAGGCUGAGAGAAGACUUCAUUGCAACCUCCCAGUAUUUAAAAGGAAAUCAUGAUCUGAAUGGAUGAGCAGCCAGAGCAGUGAAGAACUGUUUGGAUGACUAGUUUGAGAGUGUAGUCCUCUGUGGAAGCUGGCAACUGUCAGGAUCUGUGCUGGGACCUGUCCCACUUUACAACUUUACCAGUGACCUGGAAGGGAUUAUGCACUCGCAGAAAUUUGUCAGAUGCUACCAAACUGGAAGUGACCAGCAGAUGAGCUGGAAGGCAAUGCUCCAUUCAUCAGACACCUAGACACGUUGCGAAAAUGUGCUUAUGGGAACUUCAUUAAACUCAAUGAGAACAAAUGCAAACUCCUGACCCUAAAAAGGAAGACUCCCUGGCAGUGAUAGAGACUGGGAAGCAGCAGUUCCAGGGAGAAGGCUCUGCGGGACAGUGAUAUGAACGCUUGUAGCAGGGAAGCCAGAAAAUCCAGAUCAGUGUUAACAGGAGCUCAGUAGGUCAAGAGAAGUGAUUAUCCCCAGCUUUACUUAGCACUCGUUAGAUCACAUCUAAACACUGCGUGCAGUUUUGGGCUCCCCUGUACAGGAA